rnacentral:misc_RNA from 1 species
GGAAUAUUGGGCAAUGGGCGCAAGCCUGACCCAGCAACGCCGCGUGAAGGAAGAAGGCCCUCGGGUUGUAAACUUCUUUUAUCAGGGACGAAACAAAUGACGGUACCUGAUGAAUAAGCCACGGCUAACUACGUGCCAGCAGCCGCGGUAAUACGUAGGUGGCAAGCGUUAUCCGGAUUUACUGGGUGUAAAGGGCGUGUAGGCGGGAGAGCAAGUCAGACGUGAAAUUCCAGGGCUCAACCCUGGAACUGCGUUUGAAACUGUUCUUCUUGAGUGAUGGAGAGGCAGGCGGAAUUCCGUGUGUAGCGGUGAAAUGCGUAGAUAUACGGAGGAACACCAGUGGCGAAGGCGGCCUGCUGGACAUUAACUGACGCUGAGGCGCGAAAGCGUGGGGAGCAAACAGGA